GACUCUUAGCAGUGGAUCACUGGGCUCAUGCAUCAGUAAAGAACGCAGCUAGCUGUGAGAAUCAAUGUGAAUUGCAGGACACAUUGAUCAUUGACACUUCGAACACACUUGAGGCCCCGGGUUCCUCCUGGGGCUAUACCUGUCUGAGAGUCA